rnacentral:rRNA from 1 species
AGCAGCCGCGGUAAUUCCAGCUCCAAUAGCGUAUAUUAAAGUUGUUGCAGUUAAAAAGCUCGUAGUUGAAUUUCGGGGUUAGCAAGUUGGUCGUGCCUUCGGUAUGUACUGGCUUUGCUGAUUCCUCCUUCUUGAAGAACUGUGAUGCUAUUAAUUUGGUGUUGCAGGGAAACAGGACUGUUACUUUGAAAAAAUUAGAGUGUUUAAAGCAGGCUAACGCCUGAAUACAUUAGCAUGGAAUAAUGAAAUAGGACGUUUGAUCCUAUUUUGUUGGUUUCUAGGAUUGACGUAAUGAUUAAUAGGGAUAGUUGGGGGCAUUAGUAUUCAAUUGUCAGAGGUGAAAUUCUUGGAUUUAUUGAAGACUAACUACUGCGAAAGCAUUUGCCAAGGAUGUUUUCAUUAAUCAAGAACGAAAGUUAGGGGAUCGAAGACGAUCAGAUACCGUCGUAG